rnacentral:lncRNA from 1 species
UGUCGUGGUACCUCUCGCAGACGCGGACGGUCCAGGCGGCGAUGAUCCAGGAGGAGAUGCUGAAGACCAAGAGCACGGUGCCGGGGCAGAUGGUCAUGAGGGUCUUCAUGACAAAGCGGGUGUUGAAGUUGAUCUUGUUGAGGGCGCCGAUGCUGCGCGACGACGCGUCGGUGAAGAGCUUGCUGUGCAGCAGCAUGACGCGCCCGAUCAGGUAGAGCCGAAG